rnacentral:rRNA from 1 species
GUUAUAACCGGCGAUACCCGAAUGGGGAAACCCAGUGUGAUUCGUCACACUAUCAUUAACUGAAUCCAUAGGUUAAUGAGGCGAACCGGGGGAACUGAAACAUCUAAGUACCCCGAGGAAAAGAAAUCAACCGAGAUUCCCCCAGUAGCGGCGAGCGAACGGGGAGGAGCCCAGAGCCUGAAUCAGCAUGUGUGUUAGUGGAAGCGUCUGGAAAGGCGCGCGAUACAGGGUGACAGCCCCGUACACAAAAGCGCAUGUGCUGUGAGCUCGAUGAGUAGGGCGGGACACGUGGUAUCCUGUCUGAAUAUGGGGGGACCAUCCUCCAAGGCUAAAUACUCCUGACUGACCGAUAGUGAACCAGUACCGUGAGGGAAAGGCGAAAAGAACCCCGGCGAGGGGAGUGAAAAAGAACCUGAAACCGUGUACGUACAAGCAGUGGGAGCACCCUUUGGGUGUGACUGCGUACCUUUUGUAUAAUGGGUCAGCGACUUAUAUUCUGUAGCAAGGUUAACCGAAUAGGGGAGCCGGAGGGAAACCGAGUCUUAACCGGGCGUUAAGUUGCAGGGUAUAGACCCGAAACCCGGUGAUCUAGCCAUGGGCAGGUUGAAGGUUGGGUAACACUAACUGGAGGACCGAACCGACUAAUGUUGAAAAAUUAGCGGAUGACCUGUGGCUGGGGGUGAAAGGCCAAUCAAACCGGGAGAUAGCUGGUUCUCCCCGAAAGCUAUUUAGGUAGCGCCUCGUGAAUUCAUCUCCGGGGGUAGAGCACUGUUUCGGCUAGGGGGCCAUCCCGGCUUACCAACCCGAUGCAAACUGCGAAUACCGGAGAAUGUUAUCACGGGAGACACACGGCGGGUGCUAACGUCCGUCGUGAAGAGGGAAACAACCCAGACCGCCAGCUAAGGUCCCAAAGUCAUGGUUAAGUGGGAAACGAUGUGGGAAGGCCCAGACAGCCAGGAUGUUGGCUUAGAAGCAGCCAUCAUUUAAAGAAAGCGUAAUAGCUCACUGGUCGAGUCGGCCUGCGCGGAAGAUGUAACGGGGCUAAACCAUGCACCGAAGCUGCGGCAGCGACACUGUGUGUUGUUGGGUAGGGGAGCGUUCUGUAAGCCUGCGAAGGUGGCCUGUGAGGGUUGCUGGAGGUAUCAGAAGUGCGAAUGCUGACAUAAGUAACGAUAAAGCGGGUGAAAAGCCCGCUCGCCGGAAGACCAAGGGUUCCUGUCCAACGUUAAUCGGGGCAGGGUGAGUCGACCCCUAAGGCGAGGCCGAAAGGCGUAGUCGAUGGGAAACGGGUUAAUAUUCCCGUACUUGGUGUUACUGCGAAGGGGGGACGGAGAAGGCUAUGUUGGCCGGGCGACGGUUGUCCCGGUUUAAGCGUGUAGGUGUGUGUUCCAGGUAAAUCCGGUUCACUUUAACACUGAGGCGUGA